GGCAUUGGAGGUUUCACAUGAUAGAGUUUAUGCUGCCCACGGUGAUGGCAAGACUCGAUCGAGUUUGGCGAAGAUCAUGGGAUGGAGCUUUCAAAUACUUUCAUUUGGCGACCAUACCGAAGACCGGAGGUUAUGCCUGUAGCUACGUUGCCGGAAAAGAUAAGAUGGUUAUCUUCAAUGUGGCUUUUGUUUAUUGUUUGUCAUGUGGGGUUUCACAGUAAAUCUUUUACAUUGAAGCUAGUCUUUAACUUCUUAUUUUGUUUGGAACUUAGUUUGUUUCUUUUCCUAGAUUAGUUCAUGAAUUUA
rnacentral:misc_RNA from 1 species